GGGGCUUGCGCAGCUACACAUGCAGUCGAACGGCAGCACAGCCGGAGCAAUCCGGUGGGUGGCGAGUGGCGGACGGGUGAGGAAUACAUGGGAAUCUACCCUGUCGUGGGGGAUAACGUAGGGAAACUUACGCUAAUACCGCAUACGACCGAGAGGUGAAAGCGGCGGACCGCAAGGCGUCGCGCGACUGGAUGAGCCCAUGUCGGAUUAGCUAGUUGGCGGGGUAAAGGCCCACCAAGGCGACGAUCCGUAGCUGGUCUGAGAGGAUGAUCAGCCACACUGGAACUGAGACACGGUCCAGACUCCUACGGGAGGCAGCAGUGGGGAAUAUUGGACAAUGGGCGCAAGCCUGAUCCAGCCAUGCCGCGUGGGUGAAGAAGGCCUUCGGGUUGUAAAGCCCUUUUGUCCGGAAAGAAAAGUCUUCGGUUAAUACCCGGGGAUGAUGACGGUACCGGAAGAAUAAGCACCGGCUAACUUCGUGCCAGCAGCCGCGGUAAUACGAAGGGUGCAAGCGUUACUCGGAAUUACUGGGCGUAAAGCGUGCGUAGGUGGUUUGUUAAGUCUGAUGUGAAAGCCCUGGGCUCAACCUGGGAAUGGCAUUGGAUACUGGCGAGCUAGAGUGCGGUAGAGGGCAGUGGAAUUCCCGGUGUAGCAGUGAAAUGCGUAGAGAUCGGGAGGAACAUCUGUGGCGAAGGCGACUGCCUGGACCAGCACUGACACUGAGGCACGAAAGCGUGGGGAGCAAACAGGAUUAGAUACCCUGGUAGUCCACGCCCUAAACGAUGCGAACUGGAUGUUGGGAGCAACUAGGCUCUCAGUAUCGAAGCUAACGCGUUAAGUUCGCCGCCUGGGGAGUACGGUCGCAAGACUGAAACUCAAAGGAAUUGACGGGGGCCCGCACAAGCGGUGGAGUAUGUGGUUUAAUUCGAUGCAACGCGCAGAACCUUACCUGGCCUUGACAUCCACGGAACUUUCCAGAGAUGGAUUGGUGCCUUCGGGAACCGUGAGACAGGUGCUGCAUGGCUGUCGUCAGCUCGUGUCGUGAGAAUGUUGGGUAAGUCCCGCAACGAGCGCAACCCUUGUCCUUAGUUGCCAGCACGUAAUGGUGGGAACUCUAAGGAGACCGCCGGUGACAACCGAGAAGGUGGGGGAUGAACGUCAAGUCAUUCAUGGCCCUUACGGCCAGGCUAACCCACGGUACUAC
rnacentral:rRNA from 1 species